AAUUGCCGGUCAAGGGGCGGCUCAAAUGGCAGAACAAUUGUAGAGGGGAAAGAAAACUCCGCACGAGCCCCCAUUCAAAAAGGUGGGUAAAUAUACAAAAAUUGUCUUUAAAAAGAAACUUUUUUUUUGAGGUUUGACAGAAACGGCUGCCCGGACUGGCUGCGGUUGGUGUCAUUUGGAUCCAGGGGCUGAAAAAGUUGACGGACAACAUGAGCCUGGCGUGUGGUGACAGAUGUUUGCUGUGCGACAUGUUCCCGUCCUCUUGCCCAACGGUGCCGAAGCUUCCGGACUUCAAACCUCUCAUGGAUCCCAGUUCUCACUUCGAACAUUGCAUCAGUAUUUGGACAGAUAAGACCGGUGUCAUGUGUGUGUGUUCCGGAUUUUGUCCUCACACACCUGCUCCUGUGAGCAUCUUCACCACCUGUGCCUCGUUCAACCUAAUUAGCCCUCGUAUUUAACCUCGUGUCUCAUUCCCUCUCGUUGCCAGUUCGUUGUACCUUGUCGUCGCGUUCCAGCAUUCCUUGUUUCCACGUCACAGACUCACAGUAAGACUUGACCCUGUUCCGAUUAUCAACCUUGCCUCUUUGCCUCAUGUUUUUGGAUACUGUUGCCUUUCUUGGAUUGACCUACGCCCGUAUAUUAAACCUCUCUUUUUGGAAACUGUCCGUUUGUUUUGGAGUCGUGCAUUUUUGGGUCCUAUCCUCUGUUCCGUUCAUGACAACCGGGUCACAUCCCUCCCGUUUAAGGGAGGCAAAUGUUAUUUCUAGAAUAGCUUUACUUGACACCUUGCCGGUUGAAGUGAGGACUGAACUUUUAAAGACCCUGACCUCAUGAAAGGGGGAGAUAGCUUCUUUAAUUGUCAUGUGGCACACCAUUUGAAACUUUUUGUCGACAGAAAACACAAAUCAUCAGAUGAGGUAAAGGACAUGCAGGAGCAACUUUUGAAGCUACAAUUGGCCCAGGCCUGUAAAGUGGCCAUUAAAAAUAAAUCAAUCAAUACAAAUGGAAGCAGAAAAACAGAUCGAUCCCCUCCAUCCCACACUGUUUUAUGACGAUUUGGUUUCUAGGGAAGCUUUUGAGUCAAUACAGGAGGAAAACUGGAUGCUCAAUAGUAAAGGUAUUUACAUAGGGAAGCAAGGUGUGGCAGCUGCCUCCACCUUGGCGCCAGAGCAGAGUGAGUGGUUUAUGAUGAGUUUGACAUCUUUUCCACUUGCACUUGCACAAGGUCAUGAAGCCUGAGAACUGGGACCCAUGGUGAGAAAAUGCCAUUUGGCAAAUGAUUGGCAACAAGAUCAAAUACCCAAUGUGUUGUACUCUCCUCGUACUGAAUGUUUUUGUAUUCAAGGUACCAUGGUGGACGGAGGGGUGAUGGAGCAUGUGACUUUGGCGCGAUUCCAUGGCAGAGAGCUCUCGGACCAUGAGGACGCCGCACAGCUGUUGAGCUCGCUGCCGGACUCACUGUGGUCUGAGGGGUCUGUGUACAUCCGUGCAUCCGGUAACAUUCGAGGUAGACCCGACUGCUUUUGUUGACGUGCCGUAGUAUCCUUGUAAACAAGAGGCCAUAGAAGAUAUCGCGGAAACCCAAAUUCUGAAAUCCCCACGCUUUGGUCCAUAAAUGAUGUUAUGAAACUGCGGAACUGCUGGCCAUGUGCAGGGCACUAGAGUUUUCUGAAGGUCAGAGUGUUACUAUUUAUUCAUGGUGCUGAUGCUGCAGCAGAAAAAAGUAGCAGGCUAAUAAAUGGAUAGAUGCUUAGAGAGCAUUUGAAGUGAUGGAAGAUUGUGAGAAGCAUAUUAACGCGUACGAUGGCUUUAAACUUGUUUAUGCCUAGAAGAGGAGUCAUGAAAAAUGUGUUAACUUGUGCGUCAGAGGGAAUCAUUUUGGGUUGUUUACGGAAUGGCACACAAGGAAGUGGCAGGAUGGUUGUAAUUGUGAAUAUUCAGGGACGCUGUGAUUUUUGUAAGUGGAUAUACAUCGAAGUUCCUGUUUGGGGCAAACAGAAUUAAGAAAAUGAUGCAAGGGACACCAGUCAACUCAAGACAUCCUUACAAUAUUUAGUUGAUACAGUAUAGUGACUAUGAAUGCAGCAUAGCGAAUGCCACUCUUUUCAUUCACAGAAGUGAAGGAUGGGCCAUAGAGGGGUCAAGGUUGAGUUGCUACUUAUGGUACAUACGAUAUGAGACUGUGCGUCAUUUGCAUCGUGUGCCAGGGAAAUGAUGAGGAGCACAUGUCUUUGAGAAUGACGACGUGAUUUGGUAUGAGGAUUCAUCUGUUUGAUUGUCUCCCCAGAUUCAGCACUAGAGCAGGGAAGACCAAGAGGAUUUUUCCAUCUGUCUGGCAAGCCAAUUUGGAGGAGGGUUAUUUAGUUGCAUUCUGUCUCCUAAAUCAGGUCGAUUACAACACUUUGUGGACAAGCGGAGAGCUACUUUUUGAGCGAAAGGGACACAUUUAUCAGGGAUAGUAUUCUUAGAUUUCUAAAAACAAGAUAACAUUGUUGCCCCAGUGAUUGGGGACUGGUUCCUUUUGGCGGUUGGGGAGGCUUGGUCAAGGUGUUGAUCAUGUGAGACAUAAAGUAAUGAAUGAUACACAAAAGGGGUCAUCGGGAAGCACCAUAUAUAGAUUAAUUAAUACGAGUUAAGGUUGAUUGAGGAAAUAGCAGACAGGAUAAUCUGGGAAGUCCUGCGGUGCCCUGAGCCCUAAAAUAGCCGGGAACUUGCACUAAAAUGUUAAAUGACGGCGGAAAGCUGGAAAGACAAAGAGCAGCUGAAUGGUCCUGCGUCUCCACGUUUGCCAAGCGGAUUGGAACAAUAUGAUGAAAAGUCCGUUUCAGUGGGGGACAAAGUGGACACAUCUCGAAGCCAUCAAGGAUGCCGUGUGGCGGAGGUCGGAGUCGGUCGGUGAUCAGUGGCUCGGCGGAAGAUGGUGGGGACACACUUGAGGUCAUUUGGUAAUUGGUAUUAAGCAGGUCACCUGCCCUUGAACAGCAACAAAUGGGAAAGGCUAGGCAGGGCAGAUAUUUAGGAGUUUUCAGUACAAGGAGGGUUACAUUUUACUCAGAGUCAGAAAUCUCCCGAGUCAGUGGGGUGGGCAGAGGCACUCGAUAGGAUUGUGGGAGAAAUUAUGGCUCGAAAUAUUUUUGCCGUUAUGGGAGUAUGAGGUCAUGCAGUCCUCCGAUAGAAUUCCACUUCAAAAUGUAUAUUCAACGUCGGUAGGGGUUGAAAGAGAGAGGUCAGAAAGGAGCAGCCCUCCAACUUGAUUGGUUAAUGAGUCUGUUAGUAGUUUGUUAGCAAAUGCCUCACUAAGCCUCCUACGCUGCACAUGGAAAUAUCGAUGGGCCAAGACCAUCUACUGUAUUGGGGCCCUAGGGGGUAAUAUACAAAGGGGGGCAUUGAUCGAUGAAUUAAUCUGGUCUGACGUGGAAGAGGGUGACUUGAUUUGCGGAUUUGUCAGAUGUAAUAUUGGAAAUUGGGCAAAAGGCAAUGAAGGAUUCCUGAAGACUGGUAGAGGAAUCUUGGGAAAAUUAUGCGCGGUGACGUGGGUGUAAAGACCGACAUACGAGCAAGCCGUUUCUGCUACACUCGGGGAGUAAUCAUCGGAAAUCAGUCGGUACCAGAGCUAUUUUUAAUUCGUCAAUCAAGCAGGAAUAUCGCGGUACUGAGGAGGAAAACCACGGGUAGUGAUUAUAAUAGUGAGUUCAAACCGAUUAACUUUCAAAUACUAGUUACGUGAUGGCAACCAAUAUAUAUUCUGUGCUCAAUGUUUAGGUUUUGUGUUCAAUGUUUGUGUCGUGUUGAGUAAAAGCAGAAAUGAAGCACCACUGGGUCAAAUUCCCUCAUGUGGAGAAGGCUUUGAUGCACUUUGUGGGGUCAUCUGAGACUAACAUGUUGAUGACGACCGAGGACAAGUGGGCAAGGUCUACACAGACUGUUGACGAACUGACCUUUGUGACGGUGUACAUAAGGACACGGGGAAGACUCUGCUUGUUGACUCUGAUUUCUGGACAUAACUUUAUUUUUCAGGACGCCCAGGAGGAUGCAGCGUGACGGUGUUGAUUUAUUGCAGGUUAUGGGAGUGUUGACUUAACGCCGAUUCUUAUGUGAUUCGUUAUUUAUGGAAAUAAUGUCAAUGUUUGGUGACCAUUGGCGACUUGGCCCUUCUCUGGAAGAUGAAGGCAGGAAUUCUGGAGUCCCGGCAUGAACAUCUUUUGCAGAGGUGUGAUUAAUUUAUUCAAGGACUUGUUUACAGGACUCGUCAGCUGGGCCUCUGCAACGGGGAGAUGACCUGUUUAAAUGUGGAUGGUGGUUUGUAUUCCUGUUGUUGUGUAUUUGCUGGGCGAGGAGCCUCUAGGAACUUGGCUGGAAUGCAUCCCACCCGUAACAUCUACGGCCGGCGGACCGGAGACAGCUGUCGAAGAAGGGCGCCGUGACCCGGAUAAAGUGGACACAUUGAUGCGUGAUGUAUCCCAACGGGAGGUUAGUAGUCCAAUUCUGAACUUUGAUUCAACACUAUACUGAUAUUGGAGGUUGCUAGUUUAUGCAGGUUCAUCACAGGAUGUUGGAUCAUUAGGGGAGCGUGCCAAGAAUCCACCGAAUUGGGUGAGGUAAGUCAGGAGGGCAGGGACAAGCCCAUGCCGCAAAGGGGGUGAGAAGCGGGAAAUUAGGAAAGCAGAGGGGUUGGGGCACCUGUUAAAUAAAUUGUAGAAAUGAUCAUAGUUUGGCUUAGCUCGCAUUCAUAUUAUGGACAAUUUCGAUGGAAAGAAUUGCGCGACAAAGAAGUCUGCGGAAGAAUAAACCUAGGGUAAUACUCGUCACUGGCAAGUCAAAUUUCGUGUUUCCGGGGGUUUGUAAAUACGUUACUAGUAUCGUGUGAAUGUGUAGAAGUAUGAAUGUAUACGACCGGAUUGCAAAUUACCACUGGGUUCGGAAGCAGGUGCGAGAAUCCUCCGCCCCGUGUGGGGAGAAGUUUGAGGAGUACCAAAGCCCGGACAUUCAUUGUCACCCUGUCAUUUUGAAUAAAGUCAGUAUUUAGGUCACUCUCGGCGCAAAUAAACUGACUUCCAAAUUCACAAAAUAAGGAAAAAUAACAGUCAAACGGAUUCGAAAGAACGCUUAACGUGUAAAGACUGGAAAUAUGUUCAACUCCAAACCCCUUACAAAAUGAAACAUUUCAGCACACGGAUAACCAAAUACGAUGUCGCGGGCCAGCUAAAUUCGAAAAAUUGGUUCAACGUCGAGACGAAAUCAAAGUCGACAUAAAAAUCAUAGAAAAAAGAGGGAUAGGACGACGUCGUUGUCUGGCUAAACAUGGUGUCUAAAAUAGAAAAAGGAAGUCAGAAAAAGAAGGACUUAGAAAAUGGACGGAAAAGGCCUUCAGUGACAUGAAACAACAUUUGGUGUCCAGUAACGCGCUGGCCCUUCCAAAUGAUGAUGAAACAUUCAUUCAAAUGGUAGAGUGGGAAAGCUAUGACGUGACCUCCGACCUUACGCAACAACGCGGUGAUCAACUAAGACCAAGAGCUUAUUUGUCGACUAAGUUAGACAGCGUGACGUGAGAGUGGCCGGCACGGUGGCCGACCGGUUAGAGCGUCUGCCUCACAGUUCCGAGGACCGGGGUUCAGACGUGGUGAUGGAAGUUCGCUCAUUUUCUUGGCUCAGAUUCCUUCAUGCAACAAAAGAAUAUCCAGCGGUGGUGGUACGCGUAGGAGUCAUGUCCGCAGGGGUUUGGAGGCAUACAGCGAUGCAAGGGGGGUAUUAUCACUUCCGGAUGAAGCAACUGCCGCGACCGUGUCUGCCUCACAUGUGUAGAACUGACUGCCCUCCGUAUGUUGGACUGUUAGAUAUCCAUUUGGAAAUGGCUUGGAUGAAGGUUGAUUUGGGUGCAAAAUACUGGCAGAUGCUUUUGUUCUUCCAGGGGUGGUCUGGAGCUGUUCGGGGUCCCGCGUGGAUAAACCUGGACUCUGGGACCAUUUCAUGGACCGUGAUUACGGACAGCAGUUUCUUCAUCAAUGACACGAGCUGUAGACCAUAUGGAGGGAGACCACCUUUAGGAUUUGUAUUUUGAUUUUGAUAUGUGUGCUUCCACAGUUGUUUUUUGUGUUUUACGCUGUUUUUUGUUCAUUGAUUUCAAUGUUUGCAUUAUUCUGUUGUGUAUGGUUUGCCAUCCGAGUCAGGGUCCCUUCGGGUGUUUUGAUGUACGGGGCUCCGAAGGACACUUGAUCUGACCCUCGCUCUUUUCCUCGUCUCGUUCGAGAGAGGUUUUUCGACCGAGAGCCGCGAAACCUUGGCGCUUCCACGAGGCUGCGCGUGCAAAUUGAUACAUUUGGGAUUGGCUCCUUUUUGAUAGCGGGGAGGAGAUUCGGGUCGUUUGGCUGUUUGGUCCGCACGUGUGGCCUCAGGGGGCGACGAGGGGACGGAUGGAUGGAUGGAUGAUAAUAUGACAGUAAGGGUUUAUCAUAUAAAAUAAACAAUCUUAAAAAUAACUAAAAUGCAAAGGAGUAGAAAUAGUUCAAAGGAUGAAAUCAUAAAACAAGUAUUCCCUUUUGAGUGAGCUUUAAGGAGUGAUCAAGUCCCACGGAGCCAUAAUGCCAAUUAAUAAUAAGAUCAUUUGGAAUAUAAGAAUCCCUGGACAGCUGACUAGCUCUCUUCCCUAUCCACGCAAUGUCAAUGGCGGUUCUGUUCGUUACCUUAUUAUUAUAAUCUUUUAGUCUUACCCAAUUACGGAGGAAAAUUCAAAGAUGAAGUACUAUGCAAGUAGCCUGUUGAAUUCCUCCUGCCAGCAUGUCCCUUAUCAUUGCGAGAGAAAAGAGCGUGUGUCUCCCUAUCUCGAGAGAAUAAGGAGCCCCGUUUAUCAUCGGGUGAGGCUUUUAUAACCUUGCUUUUCGGAAACUCCCUUUCCCAAAAUAAUCCUUUUGUUUACAUAUUCUGACACGCCCUCCUCGCUAUUAUUUUUUAUUACCACUUCAGAGUGUCCUGACGUGACCCGAGUGGGAAUAUCUUUCACUUUCACUUUCAGCCUUAUCCUGACUUGACCUCUGAUUUGCUCACCCAAAUAGCUUUCUCAGUCAAUACGUUCGAGCACAUUUCACAUGUCUUGAACUCAACCAAUACAUUUCAUCGCACCAUGUUCAUCUCUAAGCAAUCUGCAAUACAUGUGUAUAUGUUAAAUGUCAAAUAAAUGUAUAUACAUUCAUGUGAAUACAAUUCUCUCAUGCAUUCAA